rnacentral:tRNA from 1 species
ACUUAAAUAGCUUAUUUAGAGUAUAACAUUGAAGAUGUUUUGGAGAUAUAAUUAUCUUUAAGUA